rnacentral:rRNA from 1 species
AGAGUUUGAUCCUGGCUCAGAUUGAACGCUGGCGGCAUGCCUUACACAUGCAAGUCGAACGGCAGCACGGGAGCAAUCCUGGUGGCGAGUGGCGAACGGGUGAGUAAAGCAUCGGAACGUGCCCAGUCGUGGGGGAUAACGUAGCGAAAGCUACGCUAAUACCGCAUACGAUCUGUGGAUGAAAGCGGGGGACCGUAAGGCCUCGCGCGAUUGGAGCGGCCGAUGUCAGAUUAGGUAGUUGGUGGGGUAAAGGCCCACCAAGCCGACGAUCUGUAGCUGGUCUGAGAGGACGACCAGCCACACUGGGACUGAGACACGGCCCAGACUCCUACGGGAGGCAGCAGUGGGGAAUUUUGGACAAUGGGCGCAAGCCUGAU